rnacentral:rRNA from 1 species
CCUACGGGUGGCAGCAGUGAGGAAUAUUGGUCAAUGGACGAGAGUCUGAACCAGCCAAGUAGCGUGAAGGAUGACUGCCCUAUGGGUUGUAAACUUCUUUUAUAUGGGAAUAAAAUGUUCCACGUGUGUGAUUUUGUAUGUACCCUAUGAAUAAGGAUCGGCUAACUCCGUGCCAGCAGCCGCGGUAAUACGGUGGAUCCGAGCGUUGUCCGGAUUUAUUGGGUGUAAAGGGAGCGUAGGGGGAUUGUUAAGUCAGUUGUGAAAGCUUGCGGCUCAACCGUAAAAUUGCAGUUGAAACUGGGAGUCUUGAGUACAGGAGAGGUGGGUGGAAUUCGUGGUGUAGCGGUGAAAUGCUUAGAUAUCACGAAGAACACCGAUUGCGAAGGCAGCUCACUGGACUGCAACUGACACUGAGGCUCGAAAGUGUGGGUAUCAAACAGGAUUAGAUACCCCUGUAGUC